rnacentral:rRNA from 1 species
AGCAAUCUGCCUUGGAGUGGGGAAUAACGGCUGGAAACAGCCGCUAAUACCGCAUGAUACAGUUGGGAGGCAUCUCUCUGACUGUCAAAGAUUUAUCGCUCUGAGAUGAGCUCGCGUCUGAUUAGCUGGUUGGCGGGGUAACGGCCCACCAAGGCGACGAUCAGUAGCCGGACUGAGAGGUUGGCCGGCCACAUUGGGACUGAGACACGGCCCAGACUCCUACGGAAGGCAGCAG